rnacentral:rRNA from 1 species
CCCUUAGAUGUUCUGGGCCGCACGCGCGCUACACUGACGAUGGCAACGAGUUUUUCCUUCGCCGAAAGGUGUGGGUAAUCUUUUGAAACAUCGUCGUGCUGGGGAUAGAUCAUUGCAAUUUUUGAUCUUGAACGAGGAAUUCCUAGUAAGCGCGAGUCAUCAGCUCGCGUUGGUUACGUCCCUGCCCUUUGUACACACCGCCCGUCGCUACUACCGAUUGAAUGGUUUAGUGAGGACUCCUGAUUGGCGCCGCCGCCCCGGCAACGGAGCAGCGGACUGCCGAAAAGUUGUUCAAACUUGAUCAUUUAGAGGAAGUAAAAGUCGUAACA